rnacentral:rRNA from 1 species
UGCGCAAGCAGAGAGGAAGGUGGGGACGACGUCAAGUCAUCAUGGCCCUUACGUCCGGGGCUACACACGUGCUACAAUGGAUGGUACGGCGGGCAGCUACAUAGCAAUAUGAUGCUAAUCUCUAAAAGCCAUUCACAGUUCGGAUUGGGGUCUGCAACUCGACCCCAUGAAGUUGGAUUCGCUAGUAAUCGCGUAUCAGCAAUGACGCGGUGAAUACGUUCCCGGGCCUUGUACACACCGCCCGUCAAGCCAUGAAAGUUGGGGGUACCUAAAGCAUGUUACCGCAAGGAGCGUGUUAGGGUAAAACCGAUAAUUGGGGCUAAGUCGUAACAAGGUAACCAAGGGCGAAUUCGCGGCC